GACGAACGCUGGCGGCGUGCCUAAUACAUGCAAGUCGAACGCAGUGGGGACGGGUGAGUAACACGUGGGUAACCUCCCAUCAGAGGGGAUAACACUUGGUAACAGGUGCUAAACCGAUACUGAUGGAUGGACCCGCGGUGCAUUAGCUAGUUGGUGAGGUAACGGCUCACCAAGGCCACGAAGGAUAGCCGACCUGAGAGGGUGAGAGGCAACACUGGGACUGAGACACGGAAAAGACUCCGCCGGGAGGCAGCAGUAGGGAAUCUUCGGGAAGGGAAGAAAGUCUGAACGAGCAACGCCGCGUGAGUGAAGAAGGUUUUCGGAUAUUAAAACUCUGUUGUUUGAGAAGCGGUAUCUAACCAGAAAGCCACGGCUAACUACGGGCCUGACGCCGCGGUAAUAC
rnacentral:rRNA from 1 species